GGUUAAGUGACUAAGCGUACACGGUGGAUGCCUAGGCAGUCAGAGGCGAUGAAGGGCGUGCUAAUCUGCGAUAAGCGUCGGUAAGGUGAUAUGAACCGUAAUAACCGGCGAUACCCGAAUGGGGAAACCCAGUGCAAUUCGUUGCACUAUCAUACGAUGAAUACAUAGUCGUAUGAGGCGAACCGGGGGAACUGAAACAUCUAAGUACCCCGAGGAAAAGAAAUCAACCGAGAUUCCCCCAGUAGCGGCGAGCGAACGGGGAGGAGCCCAGAACCUGAAUCAGUUCUUGUGUUAGUGGAAGCGUCUGGAAAGUCGCACAGUAAAGGGUGAUAGUCCCGUACACUAAAAUGCAUUAAUUGUGAGUUCGAUGAGUAGGGCGGGACACGUGACAUCCUGUCUGAAUAUGGGGGGACCAUCCUCCAAGGCUAAAUACUCCUGACUGACCGAUAGUGAACCAGUACCGUGAGGGAAAGGCGAAAAGAACCCCGGCGAGGGGAGUGAAAUAGAACCUGAAACCGUGUACGUACAAGCAGUGGGAGCACCUUCGUGGUGUGACUGCGUACCUUUUGUAUAAUGGGUCAGCGACUUAUAUUUUGUAGCAAGGUUAACCGUAUAGGGGAGCCGUAGGGAAACCGAGUCUUAACUGGGCGAAUAGUUGCAAGGUAUAGACCCGAAACCCGGUGAUCUAGCCAUGGGCAGGUUGAAGGUUGGGUAACACUAACUGGAGGACCGAACCGACUAAUGUUGAAAAAUUAGCGGAUGACUUGUGGCUGGGGGUGAAAGGCCAAUCAAACCGGGAGAUAGCUGGUUCUCCCCGAAAGCUAUUUAGGUAGCGCCUCGUGAACUCAUCUUCGGGGGUAGAGCACUGUUUCGGCUAGGGGGCCAUCCCGGCUUACCAAACCGAUGCAAACUCCGAAUACCGAAGAAUGUUAUCACGGGAGACACACGGCGGGUGCUAACGUCCGUCGUGAAGAGGGAAACAACCCAGACCGCCAGCUAAGGUCCCAAAGUCAUGGUUAAGUGGGAAACGAUGUGGGAAGGCAUAGACAGCCAGGAUGUUGGCUUAGAAGCAGCCAUCAUUUAAAGAAAGCGUAAUAGCUCACUGGUCGAGUCGGCCUGCGCGGAAGAUGUAACGGGGCUAAACCAUGCACCGAAGCUGCGGCAGCGACGCUUAGGCGUUGUUGGGUAGGGGAGCGUUCUGUAAGCCGUUGAAGGUGACCUGUGAGGGUUGCUGGAGGUAUCAGAAGUGCGAAUGCUGACAUAAGUAACGAUAAAGCGGGUGAAAAGCCCGCUCGCCGGAAGACCAAGGGUUCCUGUCCAACGUUAAUCGGGGCAGGGUGAGUCGACCCCUAAGGCGAGGCCGAAAGGCGUAGUCGAUGGGAAACAGGUUAAUAUUCCUGUACUCGGUGUUACUGCGAAGGGGGGACGGAGAAGGCUAGGCUAGCCGGGCGACGGUUGUCCCGGUUUAAGCGUGUAGGGGGAGUGACCUGGUAAAUCCGGUUACUUACUAACCCUGAGGCGUGAUGACGAUGCACUACGGUGCAGAAGUAGUUGAUGCCAAGCUUCCAGGAAAAGCCUCUAAGCAUCAGGUAACACAGAAUCGUACCCCAAACCGACACA
rnacentral:rRNA from 1 species